UUUUUUUUUUUUGCUCUAAACAUAGUAUAUGAACCAAACAACAGACCACAAGCAAUAUAUGAACAAAACAAUACUAGGAUAAUGGCAGUAGCAAUAUUUCAAUGUAUCAGACCAUAACAACAUGAAUACAUAAGUACCUUUUGAUUGAUAAAGUGAUGAUAUCCUUCUUACAAUAUAACUUUGCGGUCGCCUUUCUGGAAGAGAUUGAUGACAUCUUCAUCCUUCACUUGAUUGAAAAAUUCUCUCUCAACAAAUGUAACCAAACAAUUGUUCAAAUAUUCAUCACCCAUUUUGUUCCUUAACUUAUUCUUCACAUAGCUCAUUAAAGAGAAUACCCUUUCAACACUAGCAGUAGCUACUGGGAGAAUCAAUACCAACUUAAGAAGCUUGUAAACAAUAUGAUAUAGUUCAUGCUUGUUUGUCUCAACAAGCAUAACUGAAAGCUGACACAGAUUUUUCAGGUUUUGAAACCUUUCAUCUCUACGCACAUUAAUAACAUACAUGUUUAGUUGCCAUGGAAGUCUUGCCAGUUCAUCACUUGUAAAAUCGGAAGCAUAAAACUUUGUAGCAAGCCUAACCAACUUCUCUUGUGCCAAGCAGCAAAUAGAUGAAGUGGACAAAAUGCUGCCAUGCAAGAAAGUAGCUCCGUCGAUAAAAGCUAAACCAAACAGGGCCUUAGUAGUCUCUUGUGCACAACAUUUGAUCACCUCUUGUUGUAUAUCAUGGUGAGUCAUCUUGCAGUUCUGUGGAGCAUUCUUGAGAACAACCCUGUCAACCUCUUCAAAAUUUCCUGCUAGCCAAUUUAGAAGCUCAAGGAAAUUUCCUUUAUUUAGCGAGUCUUCACUUUCAUCAUGCCCCCUAAAUGCCAAGCCUUGGCUCAAUAGAAAUCUCACACAGACGGCGGCGCAGGAGAGGGCCGGCCGGACCUGGGCGCUGGAGCAGUGUCGCCGCUGCCUUCAGGCUUCAGUGCUCGAAGAGGGGAAAGGGGAUCGAUUUGGGAUUGGGGAGGGAGACGAGCAGUGGCUGCAGACGAGUCGCGCGCCUAACCAGACGCCCGCUCGGCCGUGUCUCGCUUCGUGCGUUUUUUUUAGGGAUAAGCUAAGCUUUAUUGAUGUAGUGGGAUACAAUUCGGAUCGUGGGGAUUGGCCAACCAAACGUGGCGUCCCGGACCGAGAGUAAGAGAGUGCUUAGCUAAACUAUGGGCCUCACCAUUGACGGCUCGCCCCUCAAAAAUAAAAUUAUAAUGAAAACUAGUGUUGGGUUUCGUAGUAAUUUCAAAAAAAUUCCUACGCUCACGCAAGAUCAUGGUGAUGCAUAUCAACGAGAGGGGAGAGUGUGAUCUACGUACCCUUGUAGAUCGACAACGGAAGCGUUUGGUUGAUGUAGUCGUACGUCUCCACGGCCCGACCGAUCAAGCACCGAAACUACGGCACCUCCGAGUUCUAGCACACGUUCAGCUCGAUGACGAUCCCCGGACUCCGAUCCAGCAAAGUGUCGGGGAAGAGUUCCGUCAGCACGACGGCGUGGUGACGAUCUUGAUGUACUACCGUNNNNNNNNNNNNNNNNNNNNNNNNNNNNNNNNNNNNNNNNNNNNNNNNNNNNNNNNNNNNNNNNNNNNNNNNNNNNNNNNNNNNNNNNNNNNNNNNNNNNNNNNNNNNNNNNNNNNNNNNNNNNNNNNNNNNNNNNNNNNNNNNNNNNNNNNNNNNNNNNNNNNNNNNNNNNNNNNNNNNNNNNNNNNNNNNNNNNNNNNNNNNNNNNNNNNNNNNNNNNNNNNNNNNNNNNNNNNNNNNNNNNNNNNNNNNNNNNNNNNNNNNNNNNNNNNNNNNNNNNNNNNNNNNNNNNNNNNNNNNNNNNNNNNNNNNNNNNNNNNNNNNNNNNNNNNNNNNNNNNNNAGGGGGGAAAAGAGAGAGGGGGGCCGGCCCCCUCUCCUUGUCCUAUUCGGACCAAGGGAGGGGAGGGGCGCGCGGCCCAUCUUGGGCUGCCCCUUCUCUUUUCCACUAAGGCCCACUUAGGCCCAUAUAGCUCCCGGGGGGUUCCGGUAACCUCCCGGUACUCCGGUAAAAUCCCGAUUUCACCCGGAACACUUCCGAUAUCCAAACAUAGGCUUCCAAUAUAUCAAUCUUUAUGUCUCGGCCAUUUCGAGACUCCUCGUCAUGUCCGUGAUCACAUCCGGGACUCCGAAAAACCUUCGGUACAUCAAAAUGUAUAAACUCAUAAUAUAACUGUCAUCGUAACCUUAAGCGUGCGGACCCUACGGGUUCGAGAACAAUGUAGACAUGACCGAGACUCGUCUCCGGUUAAUAACCAAUAGCGGAACCUGGAUGCUCAUAUUGGCUCCUACAUAUUCUACGAAGAUCUUUUAUCGGUCAGACCGCAUAACAACAUACGUUGUUCCCUUUGUCAUCGGUAUGUUACUUGCCCGAGAUUCGAUCGUCGGUAUCCCAUACCUAGUUCAAUCUCGUUACCGGCAAGUCUCUUUACUCGUUCUGUAAUACAUCAUCCCGCAACUAACUCAUUAGUUGCAAUGCUUGCAAGGCUUAAGUGAUGUGCAUUACCGAGAGGGCCCAGAGAUACCUCUCCGACAAUCGGAGUGACAAAUCCUAAUCUCGAAAUACGCCAACCCAACAUGUACCUUUGGAGACACCUGUAGAGCUCCUUUAUAAUCACCCAGUUACAUUGUGACAUUUGGUAGCACACAAAGUGUUCCUCUGGCAAACGGGAGUUGCAUAAUCUCAUAGUCAUAGGAACAUGUAUAAGUCAUGAAGAAAGCAAUAGCAACAUACUAAACGACCGGGUGCUAAGCUAAUGGAAUGGGUCAUGUCAAUCAGAUCAUUCAACUAAUGAUGUGAUCCUGUUAAUCAAAUGACAACUCUUUGUCCAUGGUUAGGAAACAUAACCAUCUUUGAUCAACAAGCUAGUCUAGUAGAGGCAUACUAGUGACACUCUGUUUGUCUAUGUAUUCACACAUGUAUUAUGUUUCCGGUUAAUACAAUUCUAGCAUGAAUAAUGAACUUUUAUCAUGAUAUAAGGAAAUAAAUAAUAACUUUAUUAUUGCCUCUAGGGCAUAUUUCCUUCAACUAGUAGAUCGAAGUUUUAUCUCUGUGAUGACGGAUCCGUAGUGCCCCUGGUUUCCAUUUAUAAUGUCAUCAACAACUUGCUUGCAGUCCGAGGAAAUAAUAAGAUCAUGCACAAGAAGAUCCUCCGCGAACGCCAACGCUUCUCUGACCGCAAUUGCCUCAAGAGUGGCUGGAUCAAUCUGUCCAUCAAUGACCAGGGAGGAACUCCCUAGAUAGUUGCCCGCAUCAUCUCGGCAGAUAGCAACGGCCGAGCCGCCCCGGUUUCGAUAGACCGCUCCAUCAGUGUGUAUCUUGGCAUACCCCUGCGGGGGAGCUUUUGGUCUUGCAUGUGCCUUCCUCAUCUCCCAAGGGGCUGACUGCAAAGUUGUCUGCUUUCCAUCCUGUAGAAGAUCGAGCUCGGCAAUGAACCGCUCAAUGAACGAGUGUGUGGAAAGUGGACUCUGGAUAAUACCUUCGCUUCGUGCGUGGCUGCCGCUGUUGCAGUUUGGGCUGCAAUUGAGUCAUGGGCCAAAUCAUCACCGUAUAAUACAUGUAGUAUAUUUUUUUUACACGAGAAUCUUUGGUAUUCCAGGGAAGUUCCAGGAAUACCCCCAGCGCCGCCGAUGCGUUCAAACCGCCAAAACGUCUCAUAUUUAGGAACAAAGGAUGUUGAUUGGUGCGACUGGGGGUAGAAGGGUGACAUGCUUGCUGCCUUCAGGAAAUGCCUUUGAAGUAUUUUAUGGUACUCCCUCCGUCCCAUAAUGUAAGAUGCUUUUUUUGACACUACACUACACUAGGGACAGAGGGAGUAGUUAUUAUUUAUUAAGGGGUUGCAUUUUCUUAACGCAUAACAUGACCAUAGAGACAAGGUGUUGCGUUUUGCAGGUGUCAUAUAUUGGGACUCAAGAGGAAAGGCCAAGGACCAGGGCCAUGCUGCCUUUGAUCUUUGCUAGAAGAAUUGUGCUAUUUUUUGGCCAAGGAAAGCUCAAGAAAAAGAAUCAAUGUUAAACUUGUUUGAAUAUUAGUUACCCUACUGGGUUCUUUUGCCUUUUCACCGGGUCUUUUUAUCUUUUGGAAUUCCACAUGUGCCAUUAUGUACUCUUAGGCAGCCUUAUGACUGUCUACCUUCAGAUUCGUUUUGCAAAAUGAGCGGGAGAAAGGGUUCAAGAUGAUGGUAUGAUCUGUGAAAUUUAAAUGUAUAUUUUGAAACUAAUAAUGAAAUUAAAAUGUUUUAUGUUCGCCCUAGAAACCCAGUUAUGGACUGAUUUGCUGUUCACCCCACAAAGGCAAACGGGAAAUUACCUUAAUUGCCAUCCAUUAUGUGGUAAAUGUAUACAUCAAGAUAAUUGUUACUACUGAGCACAAAGCAAUACAUUUUUUCGGUAGCAAAUCACAAAGCAUUGUCUAGUGAUGGACAAUAAUAUAAGCUGACAAAGGGUAAUGGAGACCUAAUGUUGUUUCAUGUAGUGCAAUAACCAAUAACAGCUUAAUUGCUGCUACAAACAGAAUUCUAAGUUCGAAACUAUGGCCUCCUAACACAAUCAGCAAAAUAGCAAGAGUCAGGCCAGUCUCGGAGAAAAUCAGAUGUGAGUAUGUGACUGUGUGAAGUUCGUAAAUAGCACUGCAUAUAACAACAGCUUCAACCAUCCAGGUUCCAUGUGUACAAUGACUACAGAGUACUUGCAACUCUUGUCAUCAGAUGUAUUUCACUCAAAAGGGGGUAAAAAGACUAAGAAAACAAGCACGUUUAGCAGUACAUCCUUGGAAAUAACCAAAGCCCAGAUUAUUUUGGUCAACAAACAUGAUCUAAGUUACACCGCUCAACCUAGUUAAUGUGGCAGCUUGGCAAUCGACCUGGAGUUUGCACGGUGUUCUGUUGUUCUUCACAACAAGCCUCUAGGGUUUAGUUCCACCUUGGGUAAUGGACGUCGCGAGAAGACUGGGAUGGCUGCACGCUCUGGCUGUUGGCACCAAUGAAGCCUUGCAGAAGGCUCUGCGCCACUCUCACUUGGUCCGGCAUACCUUGGAUCUCCAUGAUGGAUUCCGAAGAACCAGGGCGGGCUUCAAGCAACUUCAUUCUUGCACCAGAGAUCUGAGAUUGAGAACUUAUACAUGAGAAAAACUUCUAAACUAUUACAGGGAAUAAAAUAAUGAAGACUGGCUCAAUGGAUGACGCAGUCCCAUUUGUAGUUCAGAAAGAUCAGAGCAUAGCUGGUACCUGGCGGAUCUCUGCUAGAUUGACACCACCAGCUCCAACAAUAGAUUCCAGAGAACUAUUUGGAAUCCUCAGUUCAACAGAGCUACUUGAAUACCUGCCAAAAGGAUUAUCUCUCAAUGACAAUUCCCACGUAGCAUUUCAGAAGGGAGACGAGCUGCGAAAACAUACCCUGUAACAUCUGCCACUCUUUGAUAAUCCUCACGUCCAUGCAUCUGCCCGGCAGCCUGAAGAGUGAAAUUUGAAUCUAUUCAGCACUGAAGCAAAUGAGAACCAAAUAUAUUCAGAUGCACAUGUCCACGCAUGUGAAUCAGCAUGAACAGAGCCAGACAAGGAAAGUUGAUAAUAUAAGUAAAGACCGUCAACCAAUCAAGAAAACAAUGAACAUCAACAAGUUAUAGUGCACAGAAGUGACAGCUAGAAUGAUAUGAAUGCAGAUCAGUAUAACCUACGCAAACCUACGGAUAUUUUUUUCCCUCUUCAGAAAUCCCAACCAGUUAUGGAAAAAUUGCAUACACUACACAGUUUCAGGUUUCCAAUGAAAACUAUGAGGUGAGGGCCAUUUGCAAAACAGGGGAACUGACGCAUUAAACUGUACCUCAGUGUAAUCAUAAGCAUUGGAAUUUCCGGCUCUGGUGACGCCUAAUUGUUGCAUAUUACUAUUCCCAGCUCUUGAGAGGCCUAAUUGCUGCAUGCCUCUACUAGAAUAGCUAUCAGUAGGCAUAUGGUCAUGAUAAGAACGAUGCGACAUAUAAUCAGCACCAGGACUAACAGGCAAGGGCAUUUCUCUAGUAGGCAAGCGAGCAGAUGCUGCAUAUCUAUCAUAAGAAGCAGAUGGUGGAGCGUCGCUAGCAAAUGGACUUCCACUAGGAUACUCUCUUCUUUUAGAGAAAUAAUCUACUGAAUCAUGGGGUUUAUUGUUUGGUCUCCCAUAUGGUGUAUCGUUGGCAGGUCUCCCAUAUGGUGCAUCGUUGGCAGGUCUCCCAUAUGAUGCAUCGUUGGCAGGUCUCCCAUAUGAUGCAUCGUUGGCUGGUCUUCCAUAUGGUGGAUCAUUGGCUGGUCUUCCAUAUGGUGGAUCAUUGGCUGGUCUUCCAUAUAGUGGAUCAUUGGCAGGUCUUCCAUACAGUGAAUCACUGGCAAGCCCGUAUGGUUGAUCAAUGGCAAGCCGCCUUUGAUAUGGGGAAUCAUUAGCAGGCCUUCCAUAAGGGGUAUCAUUAGCAGGCCUUCCAUAAGGGGUAUCAUUGGCAAGCCUUCCAUAUGGUGGAUUGGCAGGUCUUCCAUACAGUGUGAAAUCCCUGCUAGGAAAUAUAUCAGCAGGAGGACCAUCAAAAGAGGAAAUUCCAUCUCUGAGGAUUCUAUUUCUAAGCCUCGAAGCAAUCUCUGUGAGGGCUUCUCUUGCAAUAUCUGGAGACCCAGAAACCUGAAAGCUCGGAACACAUGUAACAGCAUAAUAACAAGUCAAGAAACAAAAACAUUAAAAAGGCAGAUAUAUUGAAACAAUAUGGACAACUUGAUGCAGAUACAAUUGAAUAUAAAUCACCUGCACAAGCUCAUCGUGAAAAGAUAAGUACUUUGGUUUGUCUGCUUUUGAAUAAACUCGGAUUUCAGCCCCAAUACGCCUUCUCAUUUCAGUAAUUACCUUCCCACCUUCCCCAAUAAUACAACCAACUUUUUUUGAUGGUACAACAAGUCUUGUAACCAAUUUGUGCUCCUCAGAAGGUGCACUUUCUGAAGGUGCACUUACUGAAGGUUCACUUACUUUGCUCUCACUUACUUUACUAUGGAGCAAAAUAAGUGCCUCAAUUGUUGGGGAUACUGGAUCAGCCGGAAUCUGGAUUGAAAAAAUACAUAGGAGAUAAAACUGUGAGGACUCAAUUGUGAAGAUUGGUAUGAUAAGGAGAUAUAGCAAUUUAAACAACCAUCUACAUCUUACCUCCUUGGAUGAAAUAACAAUCAACCUUUCUCCAGAAGCAUCUUUGUGCAAUUCCUGAACCAUAAUGCGAGCACCAGUCUGCUGCUCUAACUGCCGAACAUUUGCCCCACUUCUGCCAAUAACAGGUCCAAUAAGCUCAGAAGCGCACAGAAUUUUAAUAGAAAACUCUUCUGGUUCAGGAACAGGAUAUUGCAAUGGUCCGUUUCUAUAUGGAUCAAGCAAGGGCAUUGGUGGUGGAUGAUCCACAUGCAGGUGUGGUAACAUGUGAUUUUCAUGUGGUAGCGGUGGUGGGGACUCGCGCUUCCUUUGUGUGCUUGCAUCUAUAAUUUCUUCAAGAGAUGGAUUUUCUUUACGAGGAUGCCGAUGGAGACGAGUAGAUAUCUCGUAGAGAGCUUUUCUUACAAGAGAAGGUGCACCAGAUAUCUGACAUGAUAUAAGCAAUUAUGCAUCAAUAUUAUUCAUGUCUAAAGAUAAUAAAGCACACAAAAAAGAGCAUGUUGUAAGUGACAGAUAUCUUAUUUUAACUGAACUGGCAAAUAUCUUGGUAAACUAUAAUCUAAAAAUAAACUACUCCCUCCGUUCCUAAAUAUAAGUCUUUCUAGAGAUUUCAAUAUCGACUACAUACGGAUGUAUAUAGACGUGGUUUAGAGUAUAGAUUCAUUCAUUUUGCUCCAUAUGUAGUCCAUAUUGAAAUCUCUAGAAAGACUUAUAUUUAGGAACGGAGGAAGUACAUGCUAUAUCAAUUAACCCAUGCCAGAUACCAAACUCUAAAAUCCAACUAUUUAGGAAUUUAACAGAGAAUAUAAACAUAACAGAGAACUUCUAUAGUAAAAUAAAAUGAUACAGUAGAGUAAUGAAUCCAAAUCUAAGCUAAACAAAACCAAUACAAAAGUCCCUGGAGAUCAAUACAAGCAAAAGGCAUUACAAGUUGGAACACAACACAACAAAGGAUAUUUUGCUACUAAAACAAAUUUACCUGCACCAAUUCAUCACUCUUAAGUGCACACUGAGGAAGGUUUUCGGAUGGUAAGACCCGGAUCCCUGCACCGGUAUCAUUUCGCAAUUGUUGUAUAAUAGAGCCACCUUUUCCUAGCAGGCAGCCAACUUGAUUGCCUGGAACCAAAAUUCGGGAAGUCACAUCACCAGCAGUUUCAGAAUUCUCACAGGUAACUCCAUCGUUGGAAUCUUCAUCAGCAGCAAUCUUAUCAUGUAUCUUCAACAACGCAUCUUGAGCAAAACAAUGGGGCUUCAUGUUCUCUGGGCCAUCAAUAUUAGAAAUAUUUUGACUAGCUUGUUCGGAGUUAUUUUGGUAAUCAAAUAUGAUAAUUACUCUCUCAUCUGCACCAGGAAUAGAAUCAGCAACCCGUAUCUUUGCUUUAGUCUCGUCUCUAAGGGCCUUAACAACAUGACCACCUCUCCCCAAGACACCGCCGAUCUUUUUUCCUGGGCACAAUAUCCUGUAAACGGUUUCUAUUGGCUGAGAGGACAUAUGUCCGCCAUCCUGCCUGUAGUUUAGCCGUUUCCUCUUUCCAUCAUCAGAAUUGAAACGAGUCCUCUUUUUGGAAGUACUUUGAUUGUGUCUUCUAGAGUUAUCAUAAUCCAUCAGUCUACAUAAAGAAAGGUCCAUCAAUAUAAAGAAAUUGUAGAGGUAGCAAAGAAGGUGUGGGGCGCCCUACGAUUCCAUUACUCCAUUAGCUGUCUGAUUAUGACACAUGCAUAACCUUCUCGCUUGUGCGUACCUCAAAAUUGAGAUAUUGCUGAUAAAUGCUCAUGUUGCUACUUAGACCUACGGAAAACUGCUGUAGGUUGUUCACAAGUGCAAGAAAAGGUAUAAUUUUUUGUAGUCAAAUGACUGUUUACAGGUAGGUUACCAGAUUCAAAUCUAUUAACUGUACUAAACUAAUAAGAUCCUCACGGUUUCAUCCAGAGCUCCCACCUACUGUAUUUCAUUCAGAUGAAACACUACCACUAUGUAAUUGGCACAAAGAAACAUGGUGCAUGUAACACUGCAUAAACAGAGUAUCAAUCGGGAAGAACUUGGAGUUUGGAGUGCAAGUCCAGUGCAAGAAUUAGUCAUAGUAAUUUGAACGAAUAGUGAAAGCAAGCACUUAAAGAUGAAAUAUGCAGAGGGCAUAGUGGUGAUAAAUGACUUAACAUCAUAACAUAGCUUUACAACGGGAAGGUAAAACUGCAUAAAACUUAACCAAUCAUAAUUGCAUAGAGAUCUGAAUGGUACUCCCUCCGUCAGAAAAUACUUGUCAUCAAUAUGGAUAAAAAUGGAUGUAUCUAGAACUAAAAUACAUCUAGAUACAUCCCCUUUUAUUCAUUUUGAUGACAAGUAUUUCCGGACGGAGUAUAAAAUAAGUACGCAACCAUAAUUCUGUCAGUUUAUGGAUGCAAAGAUGUCCUAGCUUUACAAUGGUAGAAGGACUGUUAGGCAACUGGAAAGAUAAGGCUUGAAUUUAUAGUAUGUACAGAAUAACAUCAAGAGAAGCUACAGUGCUGAGCGAAUAAGGCCAAAUAUCCAUAGAAAGGAAAAAAAAAGGCAUCCUAGCAUAUGGGACUUGCAGCAGCUCCAUGUGAAGUGAAAUCUACAGUAACUUGGCUUUGCAUCUAUAAGUGGUAAGAGUUGAUGGUGAUAAUUAUAGCGCAUCAGCCCACCACAUAAAGCAACAUGCCAAAUUCACAAACACAUAACCAAAUAAGCAAACAGGUGCGCUAAAUUGACCUAGCCCUUUUCAGCACGCUUAUAUAUAUGACUUGAAGAAACUCCACUGAUCUAGGUCAGAAGAACAAGCAAAAGACGACAGUUUGACCUCGCAUAUCAGCUCACUACCUCAUCCAGCCAUAAAAUUUUGUUUGGCAAACUGAAGGAUCUCGACCUGGAUUCAGAAAAGGCGCCAGAUUGACCACACAAGUCCAGGCGUGUGGGCAGAAUUGCUCACACGCACAGCUUCAGUCACACCCAUCGAAGACGCCAAACAAAAGAAGCAGUAUUUACAUCCCCCGCGACACAAUCUCCAUCCUUGGGGACCGGCAUAUCGCAUCACAAACCUAGUUUCUAGUGCCGGAUCUAGAUGGUGCGUCGGCUGUCGCGCCCAAAAUUCCUGCGGGCUAACUUAGGGUGGGAGCAAUUCCCUGGAUAACAAGAAGCUCGUACCUUCAAACUAAUGACGAAGAUGGCGGCGUCGGCGGCGGCGGCUGGGGGAUACGGCAGGGCCGCGGUGCCGCGAUAAGGUUGGAGGCGGCGACGCGCGUGACAGGGGUGGGGUUGGGAGCUUAGGGGUGUGAGGCGUGGGCGGUGCCACGGCAAGGCGGCAGCUUGGAGCUAGGGCACCGGGGAAGAAGAGGAAAUUUCUCAACGGGACGGCGCAGAGGAAAAGUCGCUGUGGGAAGAGAUGGAUUUUGACGGGGACGGGGAAGACGAAAGGAAAAAAAAUUAUCCUAAAUUCAUAACCAGGUGCACUUUUCUUUUAGGGUAUAACCCGGGGCACAAGAGAUAGACCAACGCUACACCUAAGACUAAGAGCAUCUCCAGCCGUUCGGCCGAUGCUGAAAAAGCGCCAUCUGAGACCGAAUCGACGUUUAUUUUCGGCGUGAGGACGAUUGCAUUCCCAAUCGUCACCCCAGGUCGCCUCCAAAAUCGCGCAAACUCGACGAUCUGAUAUGAAUUUGACACAAACUCGGAGAUUUCUCAUUCAAAUUUGUAUAAAAAACAGAAAAAUAUACAAACUACGCCUAGCCCUACUACGCUGCGGCCGCCGCCCGCCUUCUACAUGCCGAGGAGCCUGUAGAACUGGGUGUAGUCGCCGCCGUCGUCGUCGCCGUCGCCGCCCUGCGUCCCGCCGGAGUUGCCGCCGUCCCUACUGCACUCCUGACCAGGGUCGCCGACGCGCGGGGGGUUGGAUGGCCCGGGCUCGUCCUCCUCGUCACUGUCGAGGACGACGACGACGCCCUCCUCGCGUCCGCGAUGCCGGGCCUUCUCCUCGUAGGCCCGGCGCUGGCGCGCCACCUGCUCCCGGACGUAAUCCGCCUUCGCCCACUUGAGGGCGGUCUCGUCGACGGCGCCCAUCUCCGCGUGCUCCGGCUUCACGGGGAGCAGCCCCGGAUCGGUCUUCGGCCGGACUAGGCGGAGGGAACGCGGGGAUGGGCGACCACCCUGGUUGAUGACGAGGGCGUCGUUGCGGGUGCGGCGCCCAAGCGGUGUCUCCUGCGGCUCCGGCUUGACGGGGCGGAGCGCCGGCGACCCGUAGGAGCGUGAACCGAAGCCCGGCGAUGAGGAAGUCACCGCCUCCAUUUGCCGCGACAUCCAUGAGCUGCCCCGGCGGUGAGAGAAGGAUGGCCGCGCCGGGUACUCGAGGCGCGGCGUGUUGCCGGUCUCGAUGUGGUCGAGGAUGGCCUGUUGGGGAACGUGGUAAUUUCAAAAAAAUUCCUACGCACACGCAGGAUCAUGGUGAUGCAUAGCAACGAGAGGGGAGAGUGUCGUCCACGUACCCUCGUAGACCGUUAAGCGGAAGCGUUAUGAUAACGCGGUUGAUGUAGUCGUACGUCUUCACGAUCGACCGAUCCUCAGUACCGAACGUAUGGCACCUCCGCGUUCAGCACACGUUCAGCUCGGUGACGUCCCGCAAACUCACGAUCCAGUAGAGCUCGGGGAAGAGUUUCGUCAGCACGGCGGCGUGGUGACGAUGUUGAUGAAGCUACGUAGCAGGCUUUCACCUAAACACCGCUACAGUAUGACCGAGGUGGAUUAUGGUGGAAGGGGGAACCGCACACGGCUGGAGAGAUCUCUACGAUCAACUCGUGUGUCUAGAGGUGCCCUCACCGUAUAUAAAGGAGCAAGGGGGGAGAGGCGGCCGGCCAGGAGGAGGCGCGCCAGGAGGAGCCCUACUUCCACCAGGAGUAGGACUCCCUUCUUUUCUAGUUGGAAUAGGAGAAGGGGGAGGAGGAGGGGGAGAGGAAGGAAAGGGGGGCGCCCUCCCCCCUCCUUGUCCAAUUCAGACUAGAGGGAGAGGGGGGGCGCGGCCUGCCCUGGCAGCCCCUCCUCUCUUCCACUAAGGCCCAUCUUGGCCCAUUAAACCCCCAGGGGGUUUCCGGUAACCCCCGGUACUCCGAUAAAAUCCCGAUUUCACUUGGAACAUUUCCGAUAUCCAAAUAUAGGCUUCCAAUAUAUAAAUCUUUAUGUCUCGACCAUUUCGAGACUCCUCGUCAUGUUCGUGAUCACAUCCGGGACUCCGAACCACCUUUGGUACAUCAAAAUAUAUAAACUUAUAAAACCGAUCGUCACAGAACUUUAAGCGUGCGGAUCCUACGGAUUCGAGAACUAUGUAGACAUGACCGAGACACGUCUCCGGUCAAUAACCAAUAGCGGAACCUGGAUGCUCAUAUUGGUUCCUACAUAUUCUACGAAGAUCUUUAUCGGUCAAACCGCAUAACACUAUACGUUGUUCUCUUUGUCAUCGGUAUGUUACUUGCCCGAGAUUUGAUCGUCGGUAUCCCAAUACCUAGUUCAAUCUCGUUACCGGCGAGUCUCUUUACUCAUUCCGUAAUACAUCAUCAUGUAACUAACUCAUUAGUUAUCAUUCUUGCAAGGCUUAUAGUGAUGUGUAUGACCGAGAGGGCCCAGAGAUACCUCUUCGACAAUCAGAGUGACAAAUCCUAAUCUUGAUCUAUGCCAACUCAACAAGUACCAUCGGAGACACCUGUAGAGCACCUUUAUAAUCACCCGGUUAUGUUGUGACGUUUGGUAGCACACAAAGUGUUCCUCCAGUAUUCGGGAGUUGCAUAAUCUCAUAGUCGUAAGAACAUGUAUAAGUCAUGAAGAAAGCAAUAGCAGUAAACAAAUGAUCAAGUGCUAAGCUAACGGAAUGAGUCAAGUCAAUCACAUCAUUCUCCUAAUGAUGUGAUCUCAUUGAUCAAAUAACAACUCAUGUCUAUGGUUAGGAAACUUAACCAUCUUUGAUCAAUGAGCUAGUCAAGUAGAGGCAUACUAGUGACACUAUGUUUGUCUAUGUAUUCACACAUGUAUUAUGUUUCCAGUUAAUACAAUUCUAGCAUGAAUAAUAAACAUUUAUCAUGAAAUAAGGAAAUAAAUAAUAACUUUAUUAUUGCCUCUAGGGCAUAUUUCCUUCAGUCUCCCACUUGCACUAGAGUCAAUAAUCUAGAUUACACAGUAAUGAUUUUAACACCCAUGGAGCCUUGGUGCUGAUCAUUUUUUGCUCGUGGAAGAGGCUUAGUCAAUGGGUCUGCAACAUUCGGUUCUGUAUGUAUCUUGCAAAUCUCUAUGUCUCCCACCUGGACUUGAUCUCGGAUGGAGUUGAAGCUUCUCUUGAUAUGCUUGGUUCUCUUGUGAAAUCUGGAUUCCUUUGCUAAGGCAAUUGCGCCAGUAUUGUCACAAAAGAUUUUCAUUGGACCCGAUGCACUAGGUAUGACACCUAGAUCGGAUAUGAACUCCUUCAUCCAGACUCCUUCAUUCGCUGCCUCCGAAGCAGCAAUGUACUCCGCUUCACAUGUAGAUCCCGCCACGACGCUCUGUUUAGAACUGCUCCGACUGACAGCUCCACCGUUUAAUAUAAACACGUAUCCGGUUUGCGAUUUAGAAUCGUCCGGAUCAGUGUCAAAGUUUGCAUCAACGUAACCAUUUACGAUGAGCUCUUUGUCACCUCCAUAAACGAGAAACAUAUCCUUGGUCCUUUUCAGGUACUUCAGGAUGUUCUUGACCGCUGUCCAGUGAUCCACUCCUGGAUUACUUUGGUACCUCCCUUGGUAGGCUAAUAUCAAGGCACACAUCAGGUCUGGUACACAACAUUGCAUACAUGAUAGAGCCUAUGGCUGAAGCAUAGGGAACACUUCUCAUUUUCUCUCUAUCUUCUGCAGUGGUCGGACAUUGAGUCUUACUCAACUUCACACCUUGUAACACAGGCAAGAACCCUUUCUUAGCUUGAUCCAUUUUGAACUUCUUCAAAACUUUAUCAAGGUAUGUGCUUUGUGAAAGAUCAAUCAAACGUCUUGAUCUAUCUCUAUAGAUAUUGAUGCCCAAUAUAUAAGCAGCUUCACCGAGGUAUUUCAUUGAAAAACUCUUAUUCAAGUAUCCUUUUAUGUUGUCUAGAAAUUCUAUAUCAUUUCCAAUCAGCAAUAUGUCAUCCACAUAUAAUAUUAGAAAUGCUAUAGAGCUCCCACUCACUUUCUUGUAAAUACAGGCUUCUCCAAAGUCUGUAUAAAACCAUAUGCUUUGAUCACACUAUCAAAACAUUUAUUCCAACUCCGAGAGGCUUGCACCAGUUCAUAAAUGGAUCGCUGGAGCUUGCACACUUUGUUAGCUCCCUUUGGAUCGAUAAAACCUUCAGGUUGCAUCAUAUACAACUCUUCUUCCAGAAAUCCAUUCAGGAAUGCAAUCUUUACAUCCAUUUGCCAAAUUUCAUAAUCAUAAAACGCGGAAAUUGCUAACAUGAUUCGGACGGAAAAGAUCGAGACGUAAAGAUCGAUAUAUUGGAAGGCUAUAUUCGGACAUUGGAAAGGUUCCGAGUGAUUCGGGUAUUUUUCGGAGUACCGGAGAGUUACGGGAAUUCGUAUUGGGCCUUAAUGGGCCAUAUAGGAAAGGAGAGAAAGGCCUCAAGGGUUGGUUGAUCUACGAGGUUCGGUAGUAAUUUGAUCUGAAGUUUCAUGAUCAUCAUCACUAGCUUCCUCACUAAUUGGUGUAGGAAUCACUGGAACUAAUUUCUGUGAUGAACUACUUUCCAAUUCGGGAGAAGGUACAAUUACCUCAUCAAGUUCUACUUUCCUCCCACUCACUUAUUUCGAGAGAAACUCCUUCUCUAGAAAGGAUCCAUUCUUAGUAACAAAAUAUCUUGCCUUCGGGUCUGUGAUAGAAGGUGUACCCAACAGUUUCUUUUUGGGUUUCCUAUGAAGACGCACUACUCCGAUUUGGGUUCGAGCUUAUCAGUUUGAAACUUUUUCACAUAAGCAUCGCAACCCCAAACUUUAAGAAAUGACAGCUUUGGUUUCUUGCCAAGCUAUAGUUCAUACGGUGUCAUCUCAACGGAUUUAGAUGGUGCCCUAUUUAACAUGAAUGCAACUGUCUCUAAUGCAUAACCCCAAAACGAUAGUGGUAAAUCGGUAAGAGACAUCAUAGAUUGCACUAUAUCCAAUAAAGUACGGUUAUGACAUUCGGACACACCAUUAUGCUGUCGUGUUCCAGGUGGCAUGAAUUUGUGAAACUAUUCCAUAUUGUUUUAGUUGAAGACCAAACUGGUAACUCAAAUAUUCGUCUCCGCGAUCAGAUCUUAGAAACUUUAUUUUCUUGUUACGAUGAUUUUCCACUUCAUUCUGAAAUUCUUUGAACUUUUCAAAUGUUUCAGCCUUAUGUUUCAUCAAGUAGAUAUACCCAUAUCUACUCAAAUCAUCUAUGAAGGUCAGAAAAUAACCAUACCCGCCGCGAGCCUUAACACUCAUCGGACCACAUACAUCAGUAUGUAUUAUUUCCAAUAAGUCAGUUGCUCGCUCCAUCAUUCCGGAGAACGGAGUCUUAGUCAUCUUGCCCAUGAGGCAUGGUUCGCAAGCAUUAAGUGAUUCAUAAUCAAAUGAUUCCAGAAGCCCAUCAGCAUGGAGUUUCUUCAUGUGCUUUACACCAAUAUGACCUAAACGACAGUGCCACAAAUAAGUUGUACUAUCAUUAGUAACUUUGCAUCUUUUGGCUUCAAUAUUGUGAAUAUGUGUAUCACUACGAUCGAGAUUCAAUAAACCAUUUAUUUUGAGUGUAUGACCAUAGAAGGUUUUAUUCAUGUAAAUAGAACAACAAUUAUUAUUUGACUUAAAUGAAUAACCGUAUUGCAAUAAACAUGAUCCAAUCAUAUUCAUGCUCAAUGCAAACACCAAAUAACAUUUAUUUUAGGUUCAACACUAAUCCCGAAGGUAAAGGGAGUGCGAUGGUGAUCUUAUCAACCUUGGAAUCACUUCCAACACACAUCAUCACCUUGCCCUUAACUAGUCUCUAUUUAUUUUGCAACUCCCGUUUUGAGUUACUACUCUUUAGCAACUGAACUAGUAUCAAAUACCAAGGGGUUGCUAUAAACACUAGUAAAGUACACAUCAAUAACAUGUAUAUCCAAUAUACCUUUGUUCAGUAUGCCAUCCUUCUUAUCCGCCAAGUAUCUAGGGCAGUUCCACUUCCAGUGACCAUUUCCUUUGCAGUAGAAGCACUCAGUUUCAGGCUUGGGUCUAGCUUUGGUCUUCUUCAUGGGAGUGGAAACUUGCUUGCCAUUCUUCUUGAAGUUCCCUUUCUUUCCCUUGCCCUUUUACUUGAAACUAGUGGUCUUGUUAACCAUCAACACUUGAUGCUUUUCUUGAUUUCUACCUCUGCCGAUUUUAGCAUCGCGAAGAUCUUGGGAAUUGUUUUCAUUAUCCCUUGCAUAUUAUAGUUCAUCAUGAAGUUCUAGUAACUUGGUGAUAGUGACUAGAGAACUUUGUCAAUCGCUAUCUUAUCAGGAAGAUUAACUCCCACUUGAUUCAAGUGAUUGUAGUACUCAGACAUUUUGAGCAUAUGCUCACUCGUUGAGCUAUUCUCCUCCAUCUUGUAGGCAAAGUACCGUCAGAGGUCUCAUACCUCUUGACACGGGCAUGAGUAUGAGAUACCAAUUUCAACUCUUGGAACAUCUUAUAUGCUCUGUGGCAUUCAAAACAUUCUUUAAGUCCCGGUUCUAAACCGUAAAGCAUGGUUCACUAAACUAUCAAGCAGUCAUCAUACCAAGCUUGUCAAACGUUCAUAACGUCUGCAUCUGCUCCUGCAAUAGGUCUCUCACCUAGCGGUGCAUCAAGGACAUAAUUCUUCUGUGCAGCAAUGAGGAUAAUCCUCAGAUCAUGGACCUAGUCCGCAUCAUUGCUACUAUCAUCUUUCAACAUAGUUUUUCUCUAGGAACAUAUCAUAAAUAAAUGGGGAGCUACAUCGCGAGCUAUUGAUCUACAACAUAGUUAUGCAAAUACUAUCAGGACUAAGUUCAUGAUAAAUUAAAGUUCAAUUAAUCAUAUUAUUUAAGAACUCCCACUUAGAUAGACAUCCCUCUAGUCAUCUAAAUGAUCACGUGAUCCAAAUCAACUAAACCAUGUUCGAUCAUCACGUGAGAUGGAGUAGUUUUUCAAUGGUGAACAUAACUAUGUUGAUCAUAUCUACUAUAUGAUUCAUGCUCGACCUUUCGGUCUCCAGUGUUCCGAGGCCAUAUCUGCAUAUGCUAGGCUCGUCAAGUUUAACCUGAGUAUUCCGCGUGUGCAAAACUGGCUUGCACCCGUUGUAUGUGAACGUAGAGCUUAUCACACCCGAUCAUCACGUGGUGUCUCGGCACGACGAACUGUCGCAACGGUGCAUACUCAGGGAGAACACUUAUACCUUGAAAUUUAAUGAGAGAUCAUCUUAUAAUGCUACCGCCGAACUAAGCAAAAUAGGAUGCAUAAAUCAUAAACAUAACAUGCAAUCAAAAUAUGUGACAUGAUAUGUCCAUGAUCAUCUUGCGCCUUUGAUCUCCAUAUCCAAAGUAUCGUCAUGAUCUCUAUCGUCACCGGCAUGACACCAUGAUCUCCAUCAUCUUGAUCUCUAUCAACGUGUCGUCACAUGCUCGUCUCGCCAACUAUUGCUCUUGCAACUAUUGCUAUCGCAUAGCGAUAAAGUAAAGCAAUUAUUUGGUGCUUGCAUCUUAUGCAAUAAAGAGACAACCAUAAGGCUUCUGCCAGUUGCCGAUAACUUCAACAAAACAGGAUCAUCUCAUACAACAAUUUAUAUCUCAUCAUGUCUUGACCAUAUCACAUCACAACAUGCCCUGCAAAAACAAGUUAGAGGUCCUCUACUUUGUUGUUGCAAGUUUUACGUGGCUGCUACAGGCUGAGCAAGAACCGUUCUUACCUACGCAUCAAAAACCACAGCGUAGUAUAGUGAUUGCUUUUUGAUCUUCAGAAAGAACCCUGUUCAUUGAAACUGAUUCAACUAAAGUUGGAGAAACAGACACCCACUAGCCACCUGUGUGCGAGGCACGGCGGUAGAACCAGUCUCCCGUAAGCAUACGCGUAAUAUCGGUCUGGGCCGCUUCAUCCAACAAUACCGCCGAAUCAAGAAUCAAUUAGUAACGACAAGCAAUAUGUAUAUACUUACGCCCACAACUUCUUUGUGUUCUACUCGUGCAUAUAACAUCUAUGCAUAGACCUGGCUCGGAUGCCACUGUUGGGGAACGCAGUAAUUUCAAAAAAAUUCCUACGCACACGCAAGAUCAUGGUGAUGCAUAGCAACGAGAGGGGAGAGUGUUGUCCACGUACCCUUGUAGACCAUAAGCGGAAGCGUUAUGACAACGCGGUUGAUGUAGUCGUACGUCUUCAUGAUCGACCGAUCCUAGUACCGAAAGUACAGCACCUCCGCGAUCUGCACACGUUCGGCUUGGUGACGUCCCACGAACUCACGAUCCGACAGAGUAUCGAGGGAGAGCUUCGUCAGCACGACGGCGUGAUGACAGUGAUGAUGAUGCUACCGGAACAGGGCUUCGCCUAAGCACCGCUAUGAUAUGACCGAGGUGGAUUAUGGUGGAGGGGGGCACCGCACACGGCUAAGAGAUCAAUGAUCAAUUUGUGUGUCUAUGGGGUGCCCCCUGGCCAAGUAUAUAAAUGAUGGAGGGAGGAGGAGGCCAACCCUCAUAGGGCGCGCCCAAAGUGUGGAGUCCUACUAGGACUCCCUAGUCCUAGUAGGAUUCCACCUCCCACAUGGAAUAGGAAAGAGAGAAGGGAGAAGGAGAAGGAAGGAAGGGCCCCCUUUCCCUAGUCCAAUUCGAACCAGCCCAUGGGGAAGGGGCGCGGCCACCCUUGAGGCCUUUAUCUCCUUUCCCGUAUGGCCCAUUAAGGCCCAAUACGAAUUCCGGUAACUCUCCGGUACUCCGAAAAAUACCUGAAUCACUCGGAACCUUUCCAAUGUCCGAAUAUAGCCUUCCAAUAUAUCGAUCUUUACGUCUCGACCAUUUUGAGACUCCUCAUCAUGUCCCCGAUCUCAUCUGGGACUCCGAACAAACUUCGGUCAUCAAAUCACAUAACUCAUAAUACAAAUCGUCACAGAACGUUAAGCAUGCGGACCCUAUGGGUUUGAGAACUAUGUAGACAUGACCGAGACUCAUCUCUAGUCAAUAACCAAUAGCGGAACCUGUAUGCUCAUAUUGGUUCCUACAUAUUCUACGAAGAUCUUUAUCGGUCAAACCGCAUAACAACAUAUGUCGUUCCCUUUGUCAUCGGUAUGUUACUUGCCCGAGAUUUGAUCGUCGGUAUCUCAAUACCUAGUUCAAUCUCGUUACCGGCAAGUCUCUUUACUCGUUCCGUAAUGCAUCAUCCCGCAACUAACUCAUUAGUCACAAUGCUUGCAAGGCUUAUAGUGAUGUGCAUUACCGAGAGGGCCGAGAGAUACCUCUCCGAUAUACGGAGUGACAAAUCCUAAUCUCGAUCUAUGCCAACUCAACCAACACCAUCGGAGACACCUGUAGAGCAUAUUUAUAAUCACCCAGUUAUGUUGUGACGUUUGAUAGCACACAAGGUGUUCCUUCGGUAUUCGGGAGUUGCAUAAUCUCAUAGUCCGAGGAAAAUGUAUAAGUCAUGAAGAAAGCAGUAGCAAUGAAACUGUAACGAUCAUAGUGCUAAGCUAACGAAUGAGUCUUGUCCAUCACAUCAUUCUCCUAAUGAUGUGAUCCCGUUCAUCAAAUGACAACACAUGUCUAUGGUUAGGAAACAUAACCAUCUUUGAUAAACGAACUAGUCAAGUAGAGGCAUACAAGGGAUACUUUGUUUUGUCUAUGUAUUCACACAUGUACGAAGUUUCCGGUUAAUACAAUUCUAGCAUGAAUAAUAAACAUUUAUCAUGAAAUAAGGAAAUAAAUAAUAACUUUAUUAUUGCCUGUAGGGCAUAUUUUCUUCAAAAGGCCACCCCCUUCUCUAUGCUGAUUACUUUAAGGAUGGUGCACUCUUCAGACCACAUCAAUUUCAUCGUCGAUUCCGAAUGAGAAGACAUGUGUUCAAUCGUAUUCGCGAGGGAGUGGGCAUGCAUGACCCAUACUUUGAGUGCAAAGAGGAUGCCCUAGGCAAGCCUGGUUUCUCUUCAUACCAGAAAUGCACCGCAUGCUUGCAUAUGGAAUUCCUGGUGAUCUUGUGGAUGAGUAUGUCCGUAUGAGUGAGUCCAUAUGUCUCUUCCCAAUGUAUAGUUUUUGUGCGGACGUGGUGAAAGUGUUCGGCCCUGAGUACCUCAGAGAGCCAACUCGCGCUGAUACAUCUCCAACUUAUCUAUAAUUUUUGAUUGUUCCAUGCUAUUAUAUUAUCUACUUUGGAUGUUUAAUGGGCUUUAAUAUGCUCUUUUAUAUUAUUUUGGGGACUAACCUAUUAACCAGAGGCCCAAUGCCAGUUUCUCUUUUUUUGCCUAUUUUAGAGUUUCGCAGAAAAGGAAUACCAAACAGAAUGAAACCUUCGCGAUGAUCUUUCUUGGACCGAAAGCAAACUAGAAGACUUGGAGUUGAAGUCUGGAACUCCGUGAGGGGGCCACAAGGCAGGAGCGCGCGCCCAGGGGGGUAGGCGCGCCCCCCACCCUCGUGGGCCCCAUGAAGCUCCACCGACAUACUUCUUUCGCCUAUGUAUACUCUUAUACCCUAGAAACAUCGGGGGGAGCCACGAAACCACUUUUCCACCGCUGCAACCUUCUGUACCCAUAAGAUCCCAUCUGGGACCUUUUUCGGCGAUCUGCCGGAGGAGGAAUCGAUCGCGGAGGGCUCCUACAUCAACACCAUAGCCUCUCCGAUGAAGCAUGAGUAGUUUACCACAAGCCUUCGGGUCCAUAGUUAUUAGCUAGAUGGCUUCUUCUCUCUCUCUUUGAUCUUCAAUACAAAGUUCUCCUCGAUGUUCUUGGAGAUCUAUUCGAUGUAAUACUCUUUUGCGGUGUCUUUGCCGAGAUCCGAUGAAUUGUGGAUUUAUGAACUUGAUUAUCUAUGAAUAUUAUUUGGUUCUUCUCUGAAUUCGUAUAUGGAUGAUUUGAUAUAUUUGCAAGUCUCUUCGAAUUAUCGGUUUAGUUUGGCCUACUAGAUUGAUCUUUCUUGCAAUGGGAGAAGUGCUUAGCUUUGGGUUCAAUCUUGCGGUGUCCUUUCCCAGUGACAAUAGGGGCAGCAAGGCACAUAUUGUAUUGUUUCCAUCGAGGAUAAAAAGAUGGGGUUUAUAUCAUAUUGCUUGAGUUUAUCCCCCUACAUCAUGUCAUCUUGCUUAAUGCGUUACUCUGUUCUUAUGAACUUAAUACUCUAGAUGCAUGUUGGAUAGCGGUCGAUGUGUGGCGUAAUAGUAGUAGAUGCAGAAUCAUUUUGAUCUACUUGACACGGACGUGAUGCCUAUAUUCAUGAUCAUUGCCUUAGAUAUCUUCAUAACUAUGCGAUUUUCAAUCAAUGCUCGACAGUAAUUUGUUCACCCACCGUAAUACAUGCUAUCUUGAGAGAAGCCACUAGUGAAACCUACGCCCCCCGGGUCUCUUUCUUACUAUAUUGCAUCUGUUUUAUUUACAUUGCAUCUCGUUUACUAUUUUGCAAUCUCUACUUUCCAAUCUAUACAACAAAAAUACCAAAAAUAUUUAUCUUACUAUAUUUAUCAGAUCUCACUUUUGUGAGUGGCUGUGAAGGGAUUGACAACCCCUUUAUCACGUUGGUUGCAAGGUUCUUGAUUGUUUGUGCAGGUACUAGGUGACUUGUGCGUUGUCUCCUACUAGAUUGAUACCUUGGUUCUCAAAAACCGAGGGAAAUACUUAUGCUACUUUGUUACAUCACCCUUUCCUCUUCAAGGGAAAACCAACGCAUGCUCAAGAGGUAGCAAGAAGGAUUUUCGGCGCCGUUGCGGGGGAGAUCUAUGCCAAGUCAAGACAUACCAAGUACCCAUCAUAAACUCUUCUCCCUCGCAUUACAUUAUUUGCCAUUCCACUCUCGUUUCCCUCUCCCCCACUUCACCUUUGCCAUUUUAUUCGCCCUCUUCCAUUCGCCUCUUUCCGCUUGCCUCUUGUGUGUUCGUUCUUAGUGCGGUUUGUUGCCAUCAUGUCUGAAACUGGGGAGGUUAUCAUUGAAAAGGAUAGUAGUAACGAUGAGGGAAACUUUGAUGCUUUUAAUAAUCCUCAUGAAGAACCUACUAUUUUACACACUAAAAAGUUUCGGAUUGGUAGUGGUAAUAUUAUUGGAAAAGGAGUUAUUCAAGAUUUCUUUACUUGCACCGGUGCUUUGCCCACUAUGGGCGGGUCUAUUUUUCAUAAAACUAGUAGUCUUGCAGAUGCUAUAUCUCUACUCGUGGUUGAACUUGAAAGACAAUUUAUCCACAUGCAUCCUUGCAUACAAAGGAUUUUUCUAGAAUUUUCCAAUGUUGAGCAUUCUUCUGUUAAGCGAGCAACUACCAUCUUUUUAGCUCAUGAGUUCAAAUUUAUAAUAAAAGAGGCCAACGAAAUUUUUGUGCAUUAUAGGGUGGAUGUCGGCCGUCCUCCCAUAGAAGCAAUCUUUUUUUAUCAAGAAGGCAUAAUGCGUUUACGAUCUUUAGAUCAUGUUGCUUUUAAUGAAAACCUUAGAAAAAAGGUUCCUACCGAUGUUUUAGUUGACAAGAUUUCCGAACUUAAUGAUAAUUUUGCUAUCCAGAACAAUGGGUUAGGAUUUUAUCUUGAACAAAGGCUCAUGACUUUUUGCCAAAAGAAUGCUUAUAAUGAUGAAUUGGUUGUGCAAUAUGAGGGGCCAAAGGAGGAACCAAUACCUCCCGAGGUUGAUUUUGGGGACUUUUUGUUGGGGAACGCAGUAAUUUCAAAAAAAAUCCUACGCGCACGCAAGAUCAUGGUGAUGCGUAGCAACGAGAGGGGAGAUUAUCGUCUACGUACCCUCGUAGACCAUAAGCGGAAGUGUUAUGACAACGCGGUUGAUGUAGUCGUACGUCUUCACGAUCGACCGAUCUAGCACCGAAGGUACGACACAUCCACGAUCUGCACACGUUCGACUCGGUGACGUCCCGCGAAAUCACGAUCCAGUAGAGCUUCGAGAGAGAGAGAGAGAGUUUCAUCAGCAUGACGGUGUGAUGACGGUGAUGAUGUUGCUACUGGAACAGGGCUUCGCCUAAGCACCACUACGAUAUAACCAAUGUGGAUUAUGGUGGAGGGGGGCAUCGCACACGGCUAAAAGAUCAAUGAUCAACUUGUGUGUCCAUGGGGUGCCCCCCUCCCCCGUAUAUAAAGGAGUGGAGGAGGGGGAGGGCCGGCCCUCUCUAUGGCGCGCCCUAGGGGAGUCCUACUCCCUCCGGGAGUAGGAUUCCCCCCUUCCAAGUAGGAGUAGGAGAGGAAGGAAGGAGGAGAGAGGGAGGAAGGAAAGAGGGGCCGGGCCCCCUCCCAAUUUGGAUUGGGCUUGGGGGGGGUGCGCCUCCCUCUUUUACCUUCCCUCUCCUCUAUUCCACCAAGGCCCAAUAAGGCCCAUAUACUCCCCGGGGGGUUCCGAUAACCUCCCGGUACUCCGGAAAAAUGCCCGAACCACCCGGAACCAUUCUGAUGUCCAAAUAUAGGCUUCCAUUAUAUCGAUCUUUACGUCUCGACCAUUCCGAGACUCCUCGUCAUGUCCGUGAUCAAAUCUGGGACUCUGAACUACCUUCGGUACAUCAAAACACAUAAACUCAUAAUACCGAUCGUCACCGAACGUUAAGCGUGCGGACCCUACGGGUUCGAGAACUAUGUAGACAUGACCGAGACAUGUCUCUAGUCAAUAACCAAUAGCAGAACCUGGAUGCUCAUAUUGGCUCCUACAUAUUCUAUGAAGAUCUUUAUCGGUCAAACCGCAUAAUAAUAUAUGUUGUUCCCUUUGUCAUCGGUAUGUUACUUGCCCGAGAUUCGAUCGUCGGUAUCUCAAUACCUAGUUCAAUCUCGUUACCGGCAAGUCUCUUUACUCGUUUCGUAAUGCUACAUCCCAUAACUAACUCAUUAGCUAUAUUGCUUGCAAGGCUUAUUUUGAUGUACAUUACCGAGAGGGCCUAGAGAUACCUCUCCGACAAUCGGAGUGACAAAUCCUAAUCUUGAUCCAUGCCAACUCAACAAACACCAUCGGAGACACCUGUAGAGCACCUUUAUAAUCACCCAGUUACGUUGUGACGUUUGGUAGCACACAAAGUGUUCCUCCGGUAUUUGGGAGUUGCAUGAUCUCAUAGUCAUAGGAACAUGUAUAGUUAUGGAGAAGCAAUAUCAAAAAACUAAACGAUCAUCGUGCUAAGCUAACGGAUGGGUCAAGUCAAUCACGUCAUUCUCUAAUGAUGUGAUCUCGUUAAUCAAAUGACAACUCAUGUCUAUGGUUAGGAAACAUAACCAUCAUUAAUUCAACGAGCUAGUCAAGUAGAGGAAAACUAGUGACACUCUGUUUGUCUAUGUAUUCACACAUGUACUAAGUUUCCGGUUAAUACAAUUCUAGCAUGAAUAAUAAACAUUUAUCAUGAUAUAAGGAAAUAUAAAUAACAACUUUAUUAUUGCCUCUAGGGUAUAUUUCCUUCACUUUCGUCCCAUUAAAAUUAGUCCUUUGAUUACUUUUGCUUGCCACAAAGAAAACUUGUUGAACAUAGGGAGUAUGAGAUGAGUUUUCACGAUUUCCCUUAUCAUUAUCAUGGCAAUACCUAGAUCUAUUCUUGCUUUUAUGCCUAGCCAGGGGCGUUAAACGAUAGCGCUUGUUGGGAGGCAACCCAAUUUUAUUUUUGUUCUUUGCUUUUUGUUCCUGUUUAGUAAUAAAUAAUUCAUCUAGACUCUGUUAUGAUUGUGUUUUUAUGUUUUAAUUGGUGUUUGUGCCAAGUAAAUCCUUUUGGAUCUUCUUGGGCGAUUGUUGUUUGAUCUUACUGAUGAAAACAGAAAGUAUGCGCUCACGAAAAUAAUUUUAAUGUUUUUACCAUAGAGCAAUAAAAUACCAAUUCCAACAGCAGUAGAUCAAUAUACAAUUUUUCCUAGUCGUCCUAAUUUUCCAGAAUUUUUGGAGUUGCAGAAGUAUUCGGAACCUACAGAUUGCUACAGACUGCUCUAUUUUUGACAUAUUCUGUUUUUCGCGUGUUGUUUGCUUAUUUUGAUGAAUCUAUGGCUAGUAUCGAGGGGUAUGAACCAUAUAGAAGUUGGAAUAUAGUAGGUUUAACACCAAUAUAAAUAAAGAAUGAGUUAAUUACAGUACCUUAAAGUGGUGGUUUAUUUUCUUAUACUAACAGAGCUCAUGAGAUUUUCUGUUGAGUUUUGUGUUGUGAAGUUUUCAAGUUUUUGGGUAAAGAUUUGAUGGAUUUUGGAAAAAGGAGUGGCAAGAGCCUAAGUUUGGGGAUGCCCAAGACACCCCAAGGUAAAAUUCAAGGACAACCAAAAGCCUAAGUUGGGGAUGCCCCGGAAGGCAUCCCCUCUUUCGUCUUUGUCCAUCGGUAACUUUACUUGAGGCUAUAUUUUUAUUCACCACAUGAUAUGUGUUUUGCUUGGAGCGUCUUUUAUGAUUUGAGUCUUUGAUUUUUAGUUUACCAAAAUCAUCCUUACUGUACACACCUUUUGGGAGAGACACACAUGAUUCGGAAUUUAUUAGAAUACUCUAUGUGCUUCACUUAUAUCUUUUGAGCUAUACAAUUUUGCUCUAGUACUUCGCUUAAAUCUUUUUAGAGCACGGUGGUGGUUUUAUUUUAUAGAAAUUAUUGAUCUCUCAUGCUUCACUUAUAUUAUUUUGAGAGUCUUUUAGAACAGCAUGGUAAUUUGCUUUGGCUAUAAAACUAGUCCUAAUAUGAUGGGCAUCCAAGAUGGAUAUAAUAAAAACUUUCAUAUAAAGUGCGUUGAAUACUAUGAGAAGUUUGAUGCUUGAUGAUUGUUUUGAGACAUGAGGAUGGUGAUAUUAGAGUCAUGCUAGUAAAGUAAUUGUGAAUUUGAGAAAUACUUCUGUUGAGGUUUGCAAGUCCCGUAGCAUGCACGUAUGGUAACCGUUGUGUAACAAAUUUGAAGCAUGAGGUAUUUCUUUGAUUGUCUACCUUAUGAGUGGUGGUCGGGGACGCGCGAUGGUCUUUUCCUACCAAUCUAUCCCCCUAGGAGCAUGCGCGUAGUGCUUGGUUUUUGGUGACUUGUAGAUUUUUGGAAUAAGUAUGUGAUUUCUUUAUGACUAAUGUUGAGUCCAUGGAUUAUACGCACUCUCACCCUUCCACCAUUGCUAGCCUCUCUAGUACCGUGCAACUUUCGCCGGUACCAUAAACCCAUCAUUUACCUUCCUCAAAACAGCCACCAUACCUACCUAUUAUGGCAUUUCCAUAGCCAUUCCGAGAUAUAUUGCCAUGCAACCUUCCACCGUUCCGUUUAUUAUGACACGCUCCAUCAUUGUCAUAUUGCCUUGCAUGAUCAUGUAGUUGGCAUCGUAUUUGUGGCAAAGCCACCAUUCAUAAUUUUUUCAUACAUGUCACUCUUGAUGCAUUGCACAUCCUGGUAAACCGCCGGAGGCACGCAUAUAGAGUCAUAUUUUUGUUCUAAGUAUCGAAUUGUAAUCUUUGAGUUGUAAAUAAAUAGAAGUGUGAUGAUCAUCAUUAUUAGAGCAUUGUCCCAUGUGAGGAAAAAAAGAGAAAAAAGAGGCCAAAGAAGCCAAGAAAAAAAGAGAGAGAAAAAGAGAGAAGGGACAAUGCUACUCUCCUUUUUCCACACUUGGGCUUCAAAGUAGCCCCAUGAUCUUCAUGAUAGGGAGUCUCUUUUUUUGUCAAUUUCAUAUACUAGUGGGAAAUUUUCAUUAUAGAACUUGGCUUGUAUAUUCCAACGAUGGGUGUCGGUGUCAAAACUGGCAGAUCUCGGGUAGGGGGUCCCGAACUGUGUGUCAAGGCCGGAUGGUAACAGGAGACAAGGGACAUGAUGUUUUUUACCCAGGUUCGGGCCCUCUCGAUGGAGGUAAUACCCUACUCUUGCUUGAUUAAUAUUGAUGAUAUGGGUAGUACAAGAGUAGAUCUACCACGAGAUCAAGGAGGCUAAACCCUAGAAGCUAGCCUAUGGUAUGAUUGUUGUGUAUGGAGUUGAUUGCCUACAGACUAGAACCCUCCGGUUUAUAUAGACACCAGAUAGGGUUAGGGUUACACAGAGUCGGUUACAAGGGUAAGAGAUCUUGAAUAUCCGCAUCGCCAAGCUUGCCUUCCACGCCAAGGAAAGUCCCAUCCGGACACGGGACGAAGUCUUCAAUCUUGUAUCUUCAUAGUCCAGGAGUCCGGCUGAAGGUAUAGUCCGGCUACCCGAACACCCCCUAAUCCAGGACUCCCUCAGUAGCCCCUGAACCAGGCUUCAAUAACGACGAGUCCGGCGCGCAAAUUGUCUUCGGCAUUGCAAGGCGGGUUCCUCCUCCAAGUCCUUCAUAGAAGAUUGUAAACACCAAGAGUAGUGUCCGGCUCUGCAAAAUAAGCUUCCACAUAUUGCCAUAGAGAGAAUAAUAUUAACACAAAUCAAAUCUGCUGACGUAUUCCGCAGUGCGUCAUCACACUACGGCCAAGUCCUUUACUCGAAUCGUUUUUACUUUUCCACCUCAGCGUGUUUUGCGAGGCGGUUUCCUUGGCACGUCUUGUCAAAGCAGAGAUCGUGUACCCCUUUUACGGGAUUCUCAUCAAUACGGAUGUGGGUAACCCAACCGCGCCAUUUAUCAUGGCGCUUGGGAGACAAGUGAGUUUUACUAGGCUGGUGGGGACGCACAACCGCAUCCGCCCAUAUAAGGGGAUAAGGAUCCACCUUUUUACCUACGCCUUCUUCCUCCUUUGCCUAUCCUACGCACUCGAGCUCCAGUGCCCAAGCCCGCACUUCCCACCUCAACCUUCUCCAGCAAUGUCCGGAGCGGGAGGCAAGUGGAUGGUCUCCUCCGUCACGGAGGGCCAUGUCAAAAAGCUAAGGAAGGCCGGAUACUUGUCCAAAGACAUCGCGCACCGGCUUCCCGAGGAGGGACAGCUUCUCCCCACCCCAAGGCCCCAUGAGAGGGUAGUAUUCCUUCCCCACUUCCUCCGCGGACUGGGUUUUCCACUCCACCCAUUUGUCCAGGGGCUCAUGUUCUACUACGGCCUGGAUUUCCAUGAUCUGGCCCCGAACUUCAUCCUCAACAUCUCGGCGUUUAUCAUCGUGUGCGAGGCUUUCCUCCGCGUCCGCCCUCAUUUCGGCCUCUGGCUCAAGACCUUCAACGUCAAGCCCAAGGUGGUGCGCGGCAGCCAGGCGGAGUGCGGAGGCGCCAUGGCGGGCAAGAUGGCCAACGUCCUAUGGCUCAAGACCCCUCCUCCCGUAAAAACGAGGAGGAGGAAGAAGAAAGCUCCCCCCCAGCGGAGGGAGGAAAGAAAAGGAAGGCCGCCCCAAGGGGGAAGGCCGAAGGGUCCAAGAAGAGGAAGACCCCUCCGCCGGACUACGCCCCCGACGCCGACGAGGACGAAGAGGAGUGGCCGGACAGGGCCAGGCGUCCGGCGAAAUCGUAAGUGUUCGGAUACCAGAGUAACUCAUGAUAUUCCUUUUGUUGCACAGCUUUCCCUAAUGUCGAAUAUAAUCAUGCAGCCCGCCCCGGGCCGAACUCAACGAGUCGUCGAGCGGCUCCCUGGAUUCAUCGGACGUGAGCUCAGUUCCGCCCGUCGUCUCCCCCCGCACUGCGGAUGACGCCGAAGUGGCGUCACAACGAGCUCCGGGGCAGGAGGAGGUGGUCCUGGAGGAGCCGCAAGGCGACCUCCCGGACUCCAGGAGCAAAGGGGACAAGACCCCCCAGGGCUCCAAGUCCGGCUUUAUGCCGGACACCGCGCCGGACAAUCCGCUGGAGGUGCUUGAAGGCGCCUCCAUCGACGAGGAGCACCGUACUAUUAUGAGUAUGGUGAUCCAGAAGGUUCAGUCCGCCAAGAGCGGACUGACUGAAGCUUGCGCUAGCCUUCUAACAGGCUUCGAGGUAAGUAAAAAUAUGUAAAAAUAUUACCGCAUAGACAGUAGCCCCUGAUGCUCUAUUUGGCGUUCGGAAAGAAAAGCCGAAUAGAGGAUCUAGUAAAUUUCGCAGGAGUCUAACAAAAAGAGUCAAUAUGCGUAUGCAGGCUUCGCUGCUAUCCACCGCCGCACUGACUGCGGAGGUGGGUGUCCUGAAGCAGGACCUCGAGCGGACCGAGCAAGAGCUCGGCCUUGCCAAGCAGCAGCUCGAGGAGAAAGAAGGUAAGAAAUACCUUAUUGAAAAGGGUGCCUAUAGAGAGGCGUGAUUGCAAAAAAUAACAGGAUUGUACUGCUUAUUGUAGGGGCCACGACUGAGGUGGCGGCCCUCAAGCAGGCGCUAUCUGAGGCCGAAAAGAAAACGGCCGCGGAGCGCACCGAGCGAGAGAAACUUGGGGCUCAGGUCGGCGAGGUGCAGCGAGAGCUUCAGGCUCUCAUGAAAAAACAUGAGAGUUUGGAGCUUGAGUCAAAGACCCAAGCGUCCGAGCUCGCGGCGGCCCUUGAGACUACCAAGUCUGCCAAGGCCGAAGCCCAAAAGGCCCUCCAAGAGUUGGAGGAGGUGAAAAAGAUAGCAGCGGGUAAGGCAUUCUUUAUGCAAAGCAGAAAUAUAAAAGUAAACUACUUGUUACUUACCCAAAUCCGGAGCUCUCCAGGGGCAUUCGCAAAUCUUCCCCGCAGCGUAUCCGACGCUGCCGCAUUCUACCGAGCUGAAGAGGACAGCUCGACGGAGAAGGUGUUCUGGUCUCAGUAUGCUGAGGCCGGACACCCUGUGCCCUUGAGCGACCAGCUGAAACAGCUGGUCGAGCUCCACAAGGCGGCCGAACAGGCCAUGAAGGGCUUCAUAGUUCGGCUGUGGCCCGGAGAGGCCCUGCCUGGGAACUACUUCGGGCUGGUGCAGCGACUGGUGGAGGCCUGUCCGAGGCUCGAGGUCAUCAAGCGCUCCGUCUGCAUCGAAGGUGCCCGUAGGGCCCUUGCCCAUGCAAAGGUGCACUGGGGUAAGCUGGACGGUGAGAAGCUUGUUAGGGACGGGCCGCCGCCGGGGAAGGAGCAUCGCAAGCCCGAGAACUACUAUAAGGAUGUUCUUGCGGGUGCCCGCCUUGUAGCGGAUGAGUGUACCAAGGAUGUAAUUUUUGAAUGAACUCGCUCGAUUUUAUCCUGUGCGCUGAAAACUUGUUCAUAUGCGCUAAGCAAUGCUUAUUGAAUUUAAAAUAUUAUUUUCUAUGCGGCCGUUUAUCAAAAAUUGGGAGAUGGCCAGUCGUUGGCUUCUGCCCCCAUGCCACUAGUGCUGGGGUGUUCGGUGAUAAACCUGUGCGCUCUUUUUCCCAUGUUUGGAUCCUUCGAGGGAGGCGCUCAGCACGACGAACCAGGCAAUCGGACUAUAAUGCUCGAACACUCUCACUUAGCCAUAGAACUUUAUAAUUUUAAAUUUCGGCAAAGCCCCUAGUUCGGAAGACCGAGUUCGGGGCUCUAUCCAUGCCUUGGCUGGGGUUAUCCAGCUCCUCGCUCGAAGCGGCAUAAGUCGUUAGGGACUCAAAAAACCUCUCGAACAGCGACCGGUCUCUCGCCUCAUCAUGACAGUUAGUUUUAGCUUUCUCCACUGAGGUGCUUAACCCAGCUCAACCGGGGCACAAUCGUAGUGGUUCUCCUAGUGCUACCUUAGCCGAUAUAGUGGGACGUAAGGCACCAAAACAUAGGAGCCGGGCAAACCCAACUAUUGACCCAAAUCAUGAUUCGGAGCCGAUGCAUAUAGUGCUAUAAGUUCGGGGUGCCGCACUUGUGAAAGUGUACGGACUUCUCACACCAUAUUAAAGGGUACUGAAGCCCCUGGCGUACUUGCCGUACCAUAGUGUACGGGUGCAACAUGUCAUUAAUGAACAUAUAUAAAAGAGAGGAUAAUGCAAAAAAUAAACAAAAAGCUAUGCAUUGUUUAUAGAGAGGCUAUUUAUCAAAGCCGAACGAUACAAAUAGUGCGGCAAGCAAAAGAUAUUGGACUAUUCAGUAUGUCCUGACCAGGGGCAGGCCGUGGAAUUGUAUUUAAAACAGGUAUACCGCUCGUAACAGAGACCACCUGGGAGUUCCAUAAUGCGGCAUGGCUUGUCUGCCUCCCUGGAUCUUGCAUCGUUUGUGCGGCAGUUGAAUUGCCGAGCAGGUCGUCCGAAGCAUGGAGUCCUGAAAGUAAGAAAAAUUAAAAAAAGAAUCCGGCAGCCCCUAGUAUGUUUUAAGCUGUAUUUUGGGUGUGCCGUUGUUGUGCCCCUUCCCCCGUGCCCAUGGUAUUUCCAGGGUAUAGUUAUGUACGCGAGGUACUGGUUUCGCUAUGUUGCGAAAGCUGGGGUUGGGGCCACAUUGCUACGCUUGCUUAGAGCGUGCCAGGCGGUCCUGCUGUGGAUUACUCCGGGCGCGCUUCGCAGUGUCUGGCUUUUUAAUGGCCGGACUGGAGAAUUGCCUGAGAAGGCUACUUUGUACCUCCGCUGCGAGAGCCGCCAUAUGCUCCUCCGUACGGAGGGAGCGUUCGGUGUUUCCGUUGACCGUAAUUACUCCUCGAGGGCCUGGCAUCUUGAGCUUGAGAUAUGCGUAGUGCGGCACCGCAUUGAACUUUGCAAAUGCGGUUCGUCCGAGCAGGGCGUGAUAGCCACUGCGAAACGGGACUAUAUCGAAGAUUAACUCUUCGCUUCGGAAAUUGUCCGGGGAUCCGAAGACCACGUCAAGUGUUACUGAGCCUGUACAGUUGGCUUCUACACCUGGUAUGACGCCUUUAAAGGUCGUUCUUGUGGGCUUAAUCCUUGAGGGAUCUAUGCCCAUUUUCCGCACUGUAUCCUGAUAAAGCAGGUUCAGGCUACUGCCGCCGUCCAUGAGGACUCUUGUGAGGUGAAAUCCGUCGAUGAUUGGGUUGAGAACCAAUCCGGCGAAGCCUCCAUGAUGGAUGCUAGUGGGAUGGUCCCUUCGAUCAAAAGUGAUCGGGCAGGAGGACCAUGGGUUGAACUUUGGGUCGACUGGCUCCAUCGCGUAUACGUCCCGUAGCGCACGCUUCCGCUCCCGCUUGGGAAUGUGGGUUGCGUAUAUCAUGUUCACCAUCCGCACUUGUGGGGGAAAGCCCUUCUGUCCAUUGUUGUUCGGCGGCUUGGGCUCCUCGUCAUCGCUGUGCAGCCCCUUGUCUCUGUUUUAGGCCCUUAACUUGCCUGCCUGCUUGAACACCCAACAAUCCCUGUUAGUGUGAUUGGCUGGCCUUUCGGGGGUGCCAUGUAUCUGGCACAAGCGAUCGAGUAUUCGGUCCAAACUGGACGGUCCGUGAGUAUUCUUUUUGAAUGGCUUUUUCCGCUGACCGGGUUUAUAGCCUUUGAAUCCGGCAUUGACUGCCGUAUCUUCAUUGCUAUCGCUGUUAACACGGCGUUUUUGCUUAUUCUGACGUGUCCCGCCGCUUUUGUCCUUGGUAUCCGAAUUACUAGGGUUUUUUGACAGGUUGUUACUGCGAGCUAGCUAGCUGUCUUCUCCCGCGCAAAAGCGGGUCAUGAGUGUCAUGAGGGCUGCCAUGGAUUUCGGUUUUUCCUGUCCCAGGUGCCGGGCAAGCCACUCAUCGCGGAUGUUAUGCUUGAAGGCUACUAGGGCCUCUGCGUCCGGAUAGUCGACUAUCUGGUUUUUCUUUGUUAGGAACCGUGUCCAGAAUUGUCUGGCCGAUUCUUCUGGCUGCUGAAUUAUGUGGCUUAAGUCGUCGGCAUCCGGCGGUCGCACAUAAGUGCCCUGGAAGUUGUCGAGGAAUGCGGCUUCCAGGUCCUCCCAAGAACCGAUUGAGUCUGCUGGCAAGCUGUUAAGCCAAUGCCGGGUUGGUCCUUUAAGUUUGAGCGGGAGGUAUUUAAUGGCGUGUAGAUCAUCGCCGCGUGCCAUGUGGAUGUGAAGGAGAUAAUCCUCGAUCCACAUCGCCGGGUCUGUUGUGCCAUCGUAUGAUUCGAUGUUUACGGGUUUGAAACCCUCUGGGAUUUUAUGAUCCAUUACUUCAUUCGUGAAGCAUAGCGGGUGUGCGGCGCCUCUGUACUGGGCUAUAUCACGAUGUAGCUCGGAAGAGCUAUGUCUGUUGUGUUUGGCCCGGCCGGAUUUGUUGUAUCCGGAGUGAAGAUCAUUGUCACAUGCCGUAGGGCGCCUGCGCGAUCCGUAGAUCGAUCUUGUUUGUCUUGCCUUAUCCUCCAGUAUGUCUCGCAGGUCGGGCGCAUUUUCCCGUGCCUUAGUUGAGCGGCGUGGGGGCAUGGCUUGGGUGGAGGGCCGACAGGCCUCUCUGUCGCGGCCGCGAGGUGGCCGGUCUGCCAUGUCAUGCGCUGGUGAUGUAGGUGCUUCCUCCUCUGAUCGGGGUAGCGGCCUGCACUUCGGGUAACUCUUGGAGGGGCGUUCGAGUUCAUACUCUUUGGCCGCAAGGUCUUCAGUCCAUCUGUCAGCUAGCAAUUCUUGGGCAGCUCUAAGUUGUUGCUGCUUUUUCUUGAGGCUGCUUGCCGUGGCUAAAAGCCUGCGUUUAAAACGCUCUUGUUCGGCGGGGUCUGAUGGUAUGACGAAUUCGUCGUCAUCGAGGCUAGCCUCGUCUUCGGAGGGAGGCGUAUAGUUAUCAUCCUCGACCUCUCGGUCUGCCACUCUUUCAUGAGGGCUGGUUUCUCCAUCUUCCUGUGCCGAAUUUUGCUGAGGUGGGUUUUCUUCGGCGCUAUCCGGGGUUGUAUUAUCUCCCGUGCCGGAAUCACCGUUUUUGCUUUGGCGGGAUUUAGAGCGGCGCUGCUGACGUCGGCGCUUUUGCUGUUUCUUGGGGGCGUCAUCCCCCACUGUUCCAUCGCCAUCUCCAUCUUUUGGAGUAUCCACCAUAUAUAUGUCAUAUGACGAGGUGGCCUUCCAGCGCCCUACGGGUGUUGGUUCUUGUUCGUCUCCUGCAUCGUCGUCCAUGCCGUCGAUGUCUUCGGAGUCGAAGUCGAGCGUGUCGGUUAAGUCGUCGACAGUGGCUACGAAGUGGGUGGUUGGUGGGCUUUGAAUUUCUUCGUCGUCCGUAUCCCAACCUUGCUGACCGCAGUCCGGCCAGGGCUCUCGUGAUAAAGAGAGAUACUUUAGAGAAUUCAGGAUGUCGCCGAAGGGCGAGUGCUGAAAGAUGUCCGCGGCGGUGAACUCCAUGAUCGGUGCCCAAUUGGAUUCGAUCGGCAGGGGCGCGGGGGGCUCAGAGCUCGGAGAGGAAUCUGGCUCCUCGGAGUCACGGGCCAUGCGGAGUGCGGGGCUAGAGUUCGGCUCAAUUGCCUCUGAGAUCGCAGCCCCUGAGGCAACGUCUAACCGCUGAUCCUCGAUCGGUGCAGUAGGCUCCGAAUCAAUGGUCGGAACCGAUGCGUGUGCGGCCUUCAAGGCGCUGUUCGGUGGCAGAGCUAUAUCAUGCCCAUCGAGACAGUGCGGCGCGCUUGGCUAUGGAUCGAAUCCGUCGAAGAUCAAGUCCCCGCGGAUGUCAGCCGUGUAGUUUAGGCUUCCAAACCUGACCUAAUGGCCAGGGGCGUAGCUUUCGAUCUGCUCAAGGAGGCCAAGCGAAUUGGUCCGCAGAGCCGCCGAAGACGAAGAUCUGUCCGCGGGGAAAAGUCUCACCCUGUACCGCGUCGUUGUUGAUGAUCGAAGGAGCCAUCGGGCCUAAAAGCGACGACACAGAGGAACUCUCAAUGAAAGCACCAAUGUCGGUGUCAAAACCGGCGGAUCUCGGGUAGGGGGUCCCGAACUAUGCGUCUAGGCCGGAUGGUAACAGGAGACAGGGGACACUUUGUUUUACCCAGGUUCGGGCCCUCUCGAUGGAGGUAAUACCCUACUCCUGCUUGAUUAAUAUUGAUGAUAUGGGUAGUACAAGAGUAGAUCUACCACGAGAUCAAGGAGGCUAAACCCUAGAAGCUAGCCUAUGGUAUGAUUGCUGUGUAUGGAGUUGAUUGCCUACGGACUACAACCCUCCGGUUUAUAUAGACACCGGAUAGGGUUAGGGUUACACAGAGUCGGUUACAAUGGUAGGAGAUAUUGAAUAUCCGCAUCGCCAAGCUUGCCUUCCACGCCAAGGAAAGUCCCAUCCGGACACGGGACGAAGUCUUCAAUCUUGUAUCUUCAUAGUCCAGGAGUCCGGCUGAAGGUAUAGUCCGGCUACCUGAACACCCCCUAAUCCAGGACUCCCUCAGUCCACGAAGGGGUAAGUGGGAGAGGGAUACAUGGGCCUUGUGCCCGAUCUUUGUACACAGACAGGUAUCGGACGUCCGCUGGGGACCGGUCGUCCGAUGGCUCAUGGGCUUCCGGACGUCCGGUAGUCGCCGAACUUCCGCUCACUUUGGCUCGGUUGAGGUGGCACCGGACGUCCGGUAGCUGGCGGUCGUCCGGUGUCGUCGGUCUUUCGCUGAUUUGGCUCGGGUGUAGAUGUGUCGGUCGUCCGGUGGGGGCCGAACGUCCGCUCGCUAGGAGGGGCCGGUCGUCCGGUGUCGUCCGGACGUCCGCUCGCUGGAGCUUCUUCUUGCGUCUUCGUUUCCACGCUUCCCUCGCGGAUGGUGUAGUUGUACACUUGCUCUCACACUCCUCCUUGUCAUCCGUAGCGUUCCGGCAAUACCUAUGCAUGCACACAAGUGGAGUGUCAAGUAGUAUACCAUCCUCGAAGGGGUCAAGUGAACACGCGUAAAGGAGAUGAUUCACCUUUGUGUAUGUGAAGUGGAUGUCGAACGUGUCACUUGUCAAACAGACUCUUGACAUGGUGAUGUCCGUAGGAUGCUCCGCAUCAAAUUGUAUUUGUUUCUCAUGUAUUUUGUAAAGAUAAAUUUGAUUUAUUUCUUACAUGGAAGACAAUACAAAAUUGCAGCCUGAAGAAUUGAACAUCAUAUUUGCAGAAUUGAACCAAACAGUUAACUAAAGACGACAACUACUAAUUAACAAAACAGUUAAUAAGUGAGCACCACACUGCACGACAUAUAGAACAUAUACACUACAGCAACAGAUUGCAUGGUAAAAUUAGAUAGCACAAUUCACUAGAAUUUGUGAAGGAAAUGCAGGAGCAGCACACACAACGGGUAAACCGAGCAUGCUUAACCGACGUAGCUAGCAAAUGGCAAGGUGUUCCUCCAAGAUAUGGGGGUUGGCACGAAUAGUAGCCAUCGCAACCUCAUCCGCGCGUGCGGCCGCGAUUUGCUUCUCCGCUGCCAAAUGCUCCUUGAGAUCCUGGCUAUAUUACGCACACCAUGGCUUAGGGCCACGCUUAUUUGGUGGAGGGGUCGGUGAUUUGGGUGGAAGGUGUCGCGUUCACGUCGGCGGUCGGGGCAUGUGGGAUGUGGAAGGAGGUGGAGGAUGGUGGUCGGGUGUGGAUUACCUGCCUGGAUAGGCGAGGCCAAGCAGCAUGAAGGAGGGUCACCGGCAAGGAGGCGGCGGCGCUACAAGCAAGGAGUGAAGGUUUCAACUUGGAAAGUAAGGCGGAAACAAGGGAAAUGUGGCUUUUGGUAAGGGGGAGGGGGAGGGGAGGUAGAUAUUUCUGCGGAAGUCGAAAAUUUGGAAUCGCUUUAGCGAAAAAACUGGAGCACAAAGUGUCAUCAGACACGGUCCCUUAUUCAGAACUAUGUAUGAUAUGUGAACAUCACAAAUGAUUCAGAUAGCUUAACCCAUGUGUGAUGAGUUUGAACAUAAAAAAAUUUGGUUCGAAUUUCCCUGGUUACAGUGGUCAUCCACGUCAUUGCAUAAUUUGGGUACACAAAGGAGACUAACUUCUUAAUUGAGCAAGUUCAACAAUUAAACAAAGCUAGCUGACCUAAACAUUACUCUAACAAAUUAAAGACCGGCCCUCUUAAUUAAACAAAACAAAGAGUACUACUAUGGCUCGUGCUCGUCGAUCUCCGCCGCCGCCUCCAUGUCCAGCUCGCGCCCGGCGGUCUCCUAGGGAAGGGGCUCCAUCGCAUCCAUCGCACCAUACUCGACAAGCAUAUCGCCAUCCGUGUCUGCCAUCUCUUUGGAAAAGGCCGCCACGAGCUGGGCCUGGGCGGAUGCGAUCUGGGCUUGGACGGGCUCCGUCGUCGCAAGGUAUGCGGUGGAGGAACGGACGGCUGCUCGGACGCUCUCGGUGAUUGCCAGCUCUUCGGCCGUGGGUUGCCGCCCGUUGUCAGAGAAGCUUCGUUCGAUUUGUGCGGUGACCGCCAGGAGCUAGGCAUGGGCGGCCUCGACAUGGUCAUGGGCGCCCUCCAUCAGGGCUAAGGCCGCCGCUACGGAACGGACAGCUGUUGUGCUGCUCUCGCCAGUUGUUAUCCCCGAGCCAGAUGUUGCUGCCGCCACAUGAGAAGCAACAGUGGCCGUUUGGGCUGCCAUAGCCGCCCGGUUGCAGAUUGCGGCCGCGCUCAUGCACCUUGUUAGCAUGCGCAUGGCGGCUGUGGCCGCGCUCCCGCCGGAGUGGGCCACCGAAGUUUCCCUCACGACGCAGGUCCACGUGCCUAUCUUUCACGGGCGACCAUUGAAUAGUGAAAUGAUAUUUGGGGAGCGAGCUAGUGUGCUUGAGACGCCAGCUGUGGAUUGUAGCCGAAUCACCUUCUCGCGUAAGCCAUAGGCGUACUAUACACCAACGGUGCUCCAGGAUAUUUUGUGUUGCAUCUCACACCGUUGGUGAUAAUAAACUGUGUGCGAUCUACUUGAUUUUUCAUCUUGAUUUGAAUUACAUAAUGGGGUCACAGCGGCAAUGGACGGUGUUUGAAUUGCUAGGCCUUUUAUCUGGAGUGAACAUACAUAUAUGUGUGUCGUAAAAGAAUUGGAAUUAUUCAGGGUUUGUUUGAACAUUUUAUACAUUAAAUUGGUUUUCUAGCCAUUUCAGGUGCACAAUUCAAAAUUAAACUAAAUGCACAUGCUCUGGUGCACCAACAUGGGUUGUAAAAUCAUAUAUGUGUCCAUGGGUUUAUGCUUAUCUCUCAUGCAAGAAAUGGGGAUGAGAUUCGAACAACACGACACCGUGGCUCUCCGGAAAACGUCGAUGUACUUGCUUUUGUAAUUCUAGUAAAUCCAAAAUUCGUCCGAAAUUCAUGAAACUUGACAUGCUAUAAUGGAGCGGCAUCAUCAUGCCGUGGUAAAAUUUUUGUCCCAUUUGCGGCAGGUUUGGGAAUAAGCUUCUCAUAUACUAGAGCUUCUCACACAACAAGUGUGAUGGUUUCGGUAGGGAACGUUUCACCUUUCUGGACGAAACGAUAUCCGUUGCCUCUUCUCAAUUUCAAUUAUUUUUCCUAGUGUCAACAUAGAACAACAGAAGUGUUGUGUCAAUUUUUGGUAUUUUUCGGGGUUCGCUUGGACAUUUUUAUACAUUAUCUAAGUUUUCUGUGCAUUCAUGUGCAUAAUUCAAAUUUGAACUACAGGCACAUGCUCUAAUGCAUAUAAAUUGGUUGAAAAUUUAAAUCUGUGUCCUUGGUUGCCUGCUUACGUCCCAUGCAAGAAAUGGGAAUGAAUGUCAAACACCCUGCCACCGUCACUCGGCCACAAACAUUGAGAAACCCGCUUUUUAAAUUCUAGUAAAUCCAAAACUUGUCUGAAAUUCAUGAAACUUGGCAUGCUAUCAUGGAGCGGCAUCAACAUGCCGUGGUAAAAAAUUUGUCCCAUUUGAGGCAGGUUUAGGUAUAUGCUUCUGACAAACCAGAGCUUCUCACAACAAGCAUGAUGGUAUGGGUAGGGAACGUCCCACCUUUGGGGACGAAACGAUAUCCAUUGCCUCUUAUUGCUUCCAAUUUUUUUCUCGUGUCAACAUAGAACAACAGGAGUGUUGUGUCAAUUUUUGUGAUUUUUCGGGGUUCGUUUGGACAUUUUAUGCAUUAACUGAGUUUUCCAUGCAUUUAUGUGCAUAAUUCAAAUUUGAACUACAUGCACAUGCUCCAAUGCAUAUAAAUUGGUUGAAAAAUCAAAUCUGUGUCCUUGGGUGCAUGCUUAGGUCCCAUACAAGAAACGAGAAUGAAUUUUAAACACCAGGGCACCGUUGAUUGCCGGCAAAACAUUGAGAUGCCUGGUUUUUAAAUUCUAGUAAAUCCAAAACUCGUCUGAAAUUCAUGAAACUUGGCAUGCUAUCAUGGAGCGGCAUUAACAUGUCGUGGUAAAAAUUUUGUCCCAUUUGGGGUAGGUUUGGAUAUAUGCUUCUCACAAACCAGAGCUUCUCACAACAAGCAUGAUGGUUUGGGUAGGGAACGUCCCACCUUUGGGGACGAAACGAUAUCCAUUGCCUCUUAUUGCUUCCAAUUUUUUUUCUCGUGUCAACAUAGAACAACAUGAGUGUUCUGUCAUUUUUUGUGAUUUUUCGAGGUUCGUUUGCAUAUUUUUAUGCAUUAACUGAGCUUUCAAUGCAUUUAUGUGCAUAGUUCAAAUUUGAAUUACAUGCACAUGCUCCAGUGCAUAUAAAUUGGUUGAAAAAUCACCGUGUCCUUGGGUGCAUGCUUAGGUCCCAUGCAAGAAACGGGAAUGAAUUUCAAACAUCAGGGCACCAUUGAUUGCCGACAAAACAUUGAGAUGCCUGGUUUUUUAAUUCUAGUAAAUCCAAAACUCGUCUGAAAUUCAUGAAACUUGGCAUGCUUUCAUGAAGCGGCAUCAACAUGACGUGGUAAAAAAUUUGUCCCGUUUGGGGCAGGUUUGGGUAUAUGCUUCUCACAAACCAGAGCUUCUCACAACAAGCAUGAUGGUUUCGUGAAGCAUAGCGGGUGUGCGGCGCCUCUGUACUGGGCUAUAUCACGACGCAGCUCGGAAGAGCUAUGUCUGUUGUGUUCGGCCCGACCGGAUUUGUUGUAUCCGGCGUGAAGAUCAUUGUCACAUGCCGUAGGGCGCCUGCGCAAUCCGUAGAUCGAUCUUGUUUGUCUUGCCUUAUCCUCCAGUAUGUCUCGCAGGUCGGGCGCAUUUUCCCGUGCCUUAGUUGAGCGGCGUCGGGGCAUGGCUUGGGUGGAGGGCCGAGAGGCCUCUCUGUCGCGGCCGCGAGGUGUCCGGUCUGCCAUGUCAUGCGCUGGUGAUGUAGGUGCUUCCUCCUCUGAUCGGGGUAGCGGCCUGCGCUUCGGGUAACUCUUGGAGGGGCGUUCGAGUUCAUACUCUUCGGCCGCAAGGACUUCAGUCCAUCUGUCAGCUAGCAAAUCUUGGGCAGCUCUAAGCUGUUGCUGUUUUUUCUUGAGGCUGCUUGCCGUGGCUAAAAGCCUGCGUUUAAAACGCUCUUGUUCAGCGGGGUCUGAUGGUAUGACGAAUUCGUCGUCAUCGAGGCUUGCCUCGUCUUCGGAGGGAGGCGUAUAGUUAUCAUCCUCGACCUCUCGGUCUGCCGCUCUCUCAUGAGGGAUGGCUUCUCCAUCUUCCUGUGCCGAAUCUUGCUGAGGUGGGUGUUCUUCGGCACUAUCCGGGGUAGUAUUAUCUCCCGUGCCAGAAUCACCGUUUUUGCUUUGGCGGGAUUUAGAGCGGCGCCGCUGACGCCGGCGCUUUGGCUGUUUCUUGGGGGCGUCAUCCCCCACUGUUCCAUCGCCAUCUCCAUCUUCUGGAGUAUCCACCAUAUAUAUGUCAUAUGACGAGGUGGCCUUCCAGCGCCCUACAGGUGUUGGUUCCUGUUCGUCUCCUACAUCGUCGUCCAUGCCGUCGAUGUCUUCGGAGCUGAAGUCAAGCAUGUCGGUUAGAUCGUCGACAGUGGCUACAAAGUGGGUGGUGGGUGGGCUUUGAAUUUCCUCAUCGUCCGUAUCCUACCCUCGCUGACCGUAGUCCGGCCAGGGCUCUCCUGAUAAAGAGAGAGACUUAAGAGAAUUCAGGAUGUCACCAAAAGGCGAAUGCUGAAAGAUGUCUGCGGCGGUGAACUCCAUUAUCGGCGCCCAAUCAGAUUCGAUUGGCAGGGGCGCGGGGGAUUCGGAGUCCGGGGAGGAGUCCGGAUCCUCGGAGUCACAGGUCGUGCAGAGUGCGGGGCUAGCAUUCGGCUCGAUCGCUUUUGGGAUCGCAGCCCCCGAGGUGACGUCCAACCGCUCAUCCUCGGUUGGCGCAAUAGGCUCCGAGUUAGGGGUCGGAACCGAUGCGUGUGCGGCCUCCAAGGCGCUGUUCGGCGGCAGAGCUAUAUCAUGCCCAUCGAGACAGUGCGGCACGCUUGGCUGUGGCUCGAAUCCGUCAAAGAUCAAGUCCCCGUGGAUGUCAGCCGUGUAGUUUAGGCUUCCAAACCUGACCUGAUGGCCAGGGGCGUAGCUUUCGAUCUGCUCAAGGUGGCCGAGCGAAUUGGCCCGUAGAGCGAAGCCGCCGAAGACGAAGAUCUGUCCGGGGAGAAAAGUCUCACCCUGGACCGUAUCGUUGUUGAUGAUCAAAGGAGCCAUCGGGCCUAAAGGCGACGACAUAGAGGAACUCUCAAUGAAAGCACCAAUGUCGGUGUCAAAACCGGCGGAUCUUGGGUAGGGGGUCCCGAACUGUGCGUCAAGGCUGGAUGGUAACAGGAGACAAGGGACAUGAUGUUUUUUUACCCAGGUUCGGGCCCUCCCUAUGGAGGUAAUACCCUACUCCUGGUUGAUUAAUAUUGAUGAUAUGGGUAGUACAAGAGUAGAUCUACCACGAGAUCAAGGAGGCUAAACCCUAGAAGCUAGCCUAUGGUAUGAUUGUUGUGUAUGGAGUUGAUUGCCUACGGACUACAACCCUCCGAUUUAUAUAGACACCGGAUAGGGUUAGGGUUACACAGAGUCGGUUACAAGGGUAAGAGAUCUUGAAUAUCCGCAUCGCCAAGCUUGCCUUCCACGCCAAGGAAAGUUCCAUCCGGACACGGGACGAAGUCUUCAAUCUUGUAUCUUCAUAGUCCAGGAGUCCGGCUGAAGGUAUAGUCCCGCUACCCGAACACCCCCUAAUCCAGGACUCCCUCAAUGGGCUUCCUCAAAUUCCCUAGGUCUUCGUGAGCAAGCAAGUUGGAUGCACAUCCACUUAGUUUCUUUUGUUGAGAUUUCAUACAUUUAUAGCUCUAGUGAGACCAUCUUCCUCCUUUUUGUCUUCUCCACAACCACCACUCUAUUCCACCUAUAGUGCCAUGUCCAUGGCUCACGCUCAUGUAUUGCGUGAAAGUUGAAAAAGUUUGAGAAUACUAAAGUAUGAAACAAUUGCUUGGCUUGUCAUCAGGGUUGUGCAUGAUUUGAAUAUUUUGUGUGACGAAGAUGGAGCGUAACCAAACUAUAUGAUUUUGCAGGGAUGAACUUUAUUUGGCCAUGUUAUUUUGAGAAGACAUAAUUACUUUGUUAGUAUGCUUGAAGUAUUAUUAUUCUUAUGUCAAUAUAAACUUUUGUCUUGAAUCUUUCAGAUAUGAACAUUCAUGCCACAAUAAAGAAAAUUACAUUGGUAAAUAUGUUAGGUAGCAUUCCACAUCAUAAAUUCCAUUUUUAUCAUUUACCUACUCGAGGAUGAGCAAGAAUUAAUCUUGGGGAUGCUUGAUACGUCUCCAAUGUAUCUAUAAUUUUUGAUUGUUCCAUGCUAUUAUAUUAUCUGUUUUGGAUGUUUAAUGGGCUUUAAUAUGCUCUUUUAUAUUAUUUUUGGGACUAACCUAUUAACCGGAGGCCCAGUGCCAGUUUCUGUUUUUUUACCUAUUUUAGAGUUUCUCAGAAAAGGAAUACCAAACAGAAUCCAAAUGGAAUGAAACCUUCGCAAUGACCUUUCUUGGACCGAAAGCAAACCAGAAGACUUGGAGUUGAAGUCUGGAACUCCGUGAGGCGGCCAUUAGGUAGGAGGGUGCGCCCAAGGGGGUUAGGCGCAGUCCCCACGCUCGUGGGCCCCAUGAAGCUCCACCAACGUACUUCUUUCGCCUAUAUAUACUCUUAUACCCUAGAAACAUCGGGGGGAGCCACGAAACCACUUUUCCACCGCCGCAACCUUCUGUACCCGUGAGAUCCCAUCUAGGGACCUUUUCCAGCGAUUUGCCGGAGGAGGAAUCAAUCAUGGAGGGCUUCUACAUCAACACCAUAGCCUCUCCGAUGAAGUGUGAGUAGUUUACCACAGACCUUCAGGUUCAUAGUUAUUAGUUAGAUGACUUCUUCUCUCUCUUUGAUCUUCAAUACAAAGUUCUCCUUGAUGUUCUUGGAGAUCUAUUCGAUGUAAUACUCUUUUGCGGUGUGUUUGCCGAGAUCCGAUGAAUUGUGGAUUUAUGAACUUGAUUAUCUAUGAAUAUUAUUUGGUUCUUCUCUGAAUUCUGAUAACCCACAAGUAUAGGGGAUCAAUUGUAGCCUCUUUCGAUAAGUAAGAGUGUCGAACCCAAUGAGGAGCUAAAGGUAGAACAAAUAUUCCCUCAAGUUCUAUCGACCACCGAUACAACUCUACGCAUGCUUGACGUUCGCUUUACCGGAAACAAGUAUGAAACUAGAAGUACUUUGUAGGUGUUUUUGGAUAAGUUUGCAAGAAAGUAAAGAGCACGUAAAUAAAACUAGGGGCUGCUUAGAUAAAGACACAACUAAAUUAGUUUUAAUAGAGAGCUUUUGUCAACAAGAAAGUUAUUUGUCCCUAGGCAAUCGAUAACUAGACCGGUAAUCAUUAUUGCAAUUUUAUUUGAGGGAGAGGCAUAAGCUAACAUACUUUCUCUACUUGGAUCAUAUGCACUUAUGAUUGGAACUCUAGCAAGCAUCCGCAACUACUAAAGAUUCAUUAAGGUAAAACCCAACCAUAGCAUUAAAGUAUCAAGUCCCCUUUAUCCCAUACGCAAACAACCUACUUACUCGGGUCUGUGCUUCUGUCACUCACGCCACCCACCAUAAGCAAAUAAUGAACAUAUUGCAAACCCUACAGCGGGAAUCCCUCACGCUUGCGCGACACGGAGAGCACCAUAGGACAGCACCAAUAAUAAAACAUACAACUCAAACCAAUCUUGAUCAUCAAAUAGCCAUUAGGACAAAACAGAUCCACUCAAACAUCAUAGGAUAGCCAUACAUCAUUGGGAAAUAAUAUAUAGCGUUGAGCACCAUGUUUAAGUAGAGAUUACAGCGGGUAAGAGAGAGGUUACACCGCUGC
rnacentral:lncRNA from 1 species